rfam:Oryza sativa Japonica Group DNA, chromosome 10, cultivar: Nipponbare, complete sequence.
GAUUUCAAUUGAAAAAGUCAUCAACAACAAAGUUGUAUAACUCAUCAAGAUCUAUAACUUUUAUUUUGGUUGUUUCUUCAUCCGACAAAGUGAUAGUAUCAUUGUUUACAAAAUUUACAUCUAUCUCAUCUGGUUCUAUAAACUAUAAGAGAGAGAUGUAAACUUUGUGAACAAUGUUACUAUCACUUUAUCGGAUGAAUAAAUGACCAAAAUAAAAGUUGUAUGUCUUGAUGAGCUCUACAACUUUUAUGUUCAUGACUUUUUCAUCUGAAAUU